AGCCUGCGGAGACAACAAGGGGAGAUAAGCUUGAAGAUCGCAGACCAGCGCGAACGCACCUCGGGCAGAGCCAGCCAUCCCGAAGGGUCUAUGCUCCACCGGUCGCUGGUUACCUAAGGCAGCAGCUCCAACUGCACUGUCCUCCAAAGACCCCAGGGCUCGCAGGAUGAAAUGGGGCCUGCUGCCUUUCCGGGGUGUUUGUUUCCGAAUACAGAGGCUCCGACGUGGAAAAGGUGCAUGUCAGCUGUGCCUGAGACCCCACACCUGAGCCCUUCCACGCUGAGCCUGGCAGCCUGAGGACAAGCCAGGUCCUAGCCCCACACGGAGGAAACACCGCGAGUCAGCAGCAUCUCCAGGCAGCAUUUUAUUCCAGAGCCAGCAGCAAAAUUCGCCCUCACCCCCCACGCCCCGGGUGCGGAAGAGGAGAAAGCCAGUCACUCUGAAGCCAGCCCAGGCAGGCCGAUGGUUCUGCAGAUAAUCCCAGGAGGGUGGGCACCCUGCCCCUUCCUGCUUGUCAAGGGAUGGCCCAAGAAGAGCAAGAAGACUGGAAGGGGUUGUGCCACUCCAGGUGGGCUCUGUCUCCUGCUGCUGCACAGGCGCUGGGCUGCCAGUCAAGAAUCUCGUCAAGAGACGGAGCCAAGGGCCUGGGCCUCAGAUUGUUCUGGACGCCAGAGCAGGACAGUCACAGUCCCCCAGCUGGAAGCAGCCUAGUGCAUGGUUUAUUUGCCAACUGAGAUUCCUCGGUGAAGGCCUGAUAGAGGGUGAAUGUCACGCUCCUGGAAUCAUUCCCUAGAGAGUUAGAUUUCUACCUGAGACCACCACAGCGGAGAACCCCCCCCCCCCACAAUGGGAGAGAAAGCCUUAUUUGGGGAGUUAUGUUCUCUGAAUUAUUCUGCCUGCCUGCCAAACAGCAGUGACCCAGGGGACUGCAAGGGUGGGUGAAGGCAAAAUGUCUCUAGAAUUCUGAUUUAGUAUCUAUCUCCCUGAUUAUAAGCCGUAGGGCAGAAUGUUUGUCCUUAAAGUCCUGGUUCAAAACCGGAGGCUUUGUCUUCCUCGGGGAUUGAGACAUUGACAUUAACUGCAGGUUCCUUCCUACCAAAGCCAAAGCCAGAUUUUUGAAUUAAUAAUAACACUUAUUGUUCUUUUUCACUGAUUACAAAAGUAAUAGGUGUUCAUUGUAACCAUAUCCCACCCACUAGAGAUACAUGCUGCCAACACUUUA